rnacentral:rRNA from 1 species
CCUACGGGAGGCAGCAGCAGGGAAUCUUGCGCAAUGGGCGAAAGGCUGACGCAGCGACACCGCGUGGGGGAAGAAGGCCUCAGGGUUGUAAACCCCUUUUCUGUGGGAAGAGAUAGGACGGUACCACAGGAAUAAGCAUCGGCUAACUACGUGCCAGCAGCCGCGGUAAUACGUAGGAUGCAAGCGUUGUCCGGAUUUACUGGGCGUAAAGGGUGUGUAGGCGGCAUGUUAAGUCUCAUGUGAAAUCUCCCGGCUCAACUGGGAGGGGUCAUGGGAAACUGGCAAGCUGGAGGGCAGCAGAGGAAAGCGGAAUUCCGGGAGUAGUGGUGGAAUGCGUAGAUACCCGGAGGAACACCAGAGGCGAAGGCGGCUUUCUGGGCUGUACCUGACGCUGAGACACGAAAGCGUGGGGAGCGAACCGGAUUAGAUACCCGGGUAGUCCACGCCCUAAACGAUGGAUACCAGAUAUAGGGGGUAUUGACCCCUCCUGUGUCGGAGUUAACGCGAUAAGUAUCCCGCCUGGGGAGUACGGCCGCAAGGCUAAAACUCAAAGGAAUUGACGG